ensembl:lncRNA
AGGGGGGAACACACAGCACAGCCACAAGGCCAAAUGUAGCAGCAGUAUUUUCUGCACAGCUAUGUCUCUAAAGCAGUGAUGUGAUCUUGGAAACUUGGCAGUAGGGAUUGCUGUGCCAAGUACCUGGUGUCCUUGUUGUCCUUCGUGCUACUGGAAAGCAGACACAAAGAAUUACUUGGCUGUUGAGGAGAGCUGUAUCUUAUCCUGCAAGCUUGUGUGUGGGAUGCUGUGGAAAUUAGGUAAUUUUUUACACAUUGAAGCCAGAAAAGGCUUGGCAUCAGCCUGCCUUGGUUUCGUUUGCCCUAAUGCAAGGCAAAAUGUCCUUACAAACACAUGGAAGAGGGAGUGCAGAGUUGGUCUGACCCUGGGUAGUCAUCGGUGCAAACCAGGAAUGCGUGAAUGCCUUUCAACACAAGAUAGGUUUUUAUAACCUCUGUUAUCCAUAAGAGAUCUUCUCUUCUGCCUCUCUCGCGCUUCUGCAGUCUUUAGUCUUUCUGUAGCUCAGUUCCAUUCCCAGAGGCCUGAAAUGAAUAAAUCCAAACAUGCUCUAUUUCAACUUAUACCCCAUGAGCAGCACUGCCGAUGUGGCAUUUUGGAGACUGAGGGAAGCGAGCCACAUUUGCUCGUGGAAAAAAAAAAAAGAAAGAACUGCAGCAACACAAUGACGUAAGGUUUAUCCUGCAGGUUCACCUCGGGUUACAACCGGAUCUAAUUCAGCAUGCUCUUGUCAGUACAGCUUACUUCAGCUGAAGCAAGAAAUACAGUUCAAUUCUGCAUGCAGCUAACUCCCACAUAAAGCUUCAGAACCUUUCCAAUCUGAUUUUUUUUUUUUAAUUGUAAUUUUUUUUUUUUUUCACUUGAGGAACUCUUGGGCCUGAAUAAUGUGGGUUUAUUUAUCUGUCUGCUACCAGCUGAAAGUAAUUUCAUGAGUUUGAUUAAACAACCGCCUCAAAGUAAACUGGAGAAUCACACACUUAAAGGAGCUGCUCCCACACACAGGCACUGAUGAGGCCGUACAGGAGAAUGUCGCUGUUUGGGGCCUCUGCACAUCCCCAGGGAGCAUUUUCCCACUGGGAAAAGGUCCUGCUCUGCAGUCCUGACCUAGAGCAAGGUUUGAAGUAGCUCUGCCAGCUAGCGAUGUGCUGAAGUAUUUCUUUGUUUUCAUCUUAGUAGACUCUGAGAAAUGACUUGCAUAAAUUUCACAGCCGUGAGAUAUCUUUCUAGUCUGUAACAGUUUUGCAGUUUUCUUUUGUAUCACGGUAUAGCAGCAAUCUUCAUCUGCUGGCAGACCCCUGAAGCUCCCAGAAUUGCAAGUGCUGAUCACCACAGUGCCAGACCAGAAGUCACAUUUGUGUGGGACGUGUCAAGCAGUUCCAAGAAGUGAAUUAAUGCACCUUGGUCCAAACCUCGGGCAAGGUGUUUUUACACACUAAGGCAAGUGGAGUUGAUGUAUGCUUGCUGCCUUCAUCUUCAAGUGCUGCUAGCUACUGGCAGAGUGAAAAAAGGCUUUAGAAAGCAAAGGUUUGUGGUGCACUCCCAGGUGUGACAAAAGGGGAAUUUUCUUCUUAAUCCCUGACGUUUAAUCAUUGCUAGUGUCAGGAAAUAUAAAUAUUUGUCUUCUGUUGCUUAAAGAAAGCAAGGUUCAUUAAGGAUUAUAUCCUUUCUUUCUAAAACAAAUGAGUUUCUAAUGGGAACAUGGAGGAAUUCAUUAACAAUCUAAUGAAUAUUUUUAAUAGCCCUUUUUGGUCCCAAUUAUAAUAUAAUGCAGACAGCUCCACAGGGUAAACUACAUUUCAGGUUUAAAAAGGUAGAACAGACUUUUCAUUAAUCUCUUUUAGCUUUGCCUUUCAGUUUUAACCUCCCCAUUGAACUGGCUACAGGCGGUGCUGUCCUGAUGCCAGCUUUACAGUCACUUAUUUGGUUUGCUGGAGCGAAGAGGGUUUCCGCACCCCGCCUCGUGUUUCAGGCUGUGUGCCUGACAUUGCCGGUGUCUCCAGGAGCACAAGUAGGUGGCACCAGGGCUGAGAUCACCCAGCCCGCCUGCCUCUGUGAUGGAUAUCUCUAACUCUUUCCAACUCGGGCUGACUUUGAUCGUACGUAAUGAAAAGCCUUAAAAUAGAAAGUGGAAGGGAACAGAGAGGAGCUUUAAUUAUUUACCAGUGAGGUAGAAUCCGUAUCUUUUGUGAAGAUACUUCUUUUGUUGUUUUUUUUUUUUGUCUAUUCAGUUUUCAUUAAGCCAAAUUUAAAUCUUUGUGCUCAGCGUUGAUUCAGAUUCGGGGGCUGAUUGAAGAGGCUUUUGAAGAGAGCUGCAUUUUUUUCUUCUUUUACUUAGUUAUUUUUCCCAUUUCCUAAACGAAAUGAAAAUACUCCUUUAGCAAUUUACAGUACGUUAGCUGCAGCAGUACUGGGAGGCACUAGCUUGAAGUUUUAGUUGCUCUAAGCACCCAGAACUGAGGAGUGCUGCUUUUCUCCCACUGCCGCUACCUCUGUGCUCAGCCCGCGCUGCCCUUACCGUUAGGUACUGCCUGAGCAGCACAGGGCCGCCUGUGGCCACUUCUGGGACAUGGACACACAGCGACUGCAUUUCAGAGCGGUUCUUCCAAUUGCAAAGCAAUCCUCACCAUACUAAACAUUUUGAUACUGUCUUUGCCUUCUUCUGAAAGCAGUGGAGAUGUCUUCUCAUUCAUUGCCCUAUUAAUACAAGUGAUCAUGAAGAUGGCGAAGGGCCUGGAGCACCUCUCCUGUGAGUAGCCUGAGAGAGCUGACUGAGGCUGUUCAGCUUGGAGAAGGGGAGACUUAGGAGGAUCUCAUCAGUGUCUGUAGAUACCUGCAGGGAGGGUGCAAAGAGGAUGGAGUCAGUCUCCAUUCAGUGUAGCCCGGUGCCAGGACAAGAGGCAGUGGGCACAAACUGGAAGACAGGAUGUUCCCUCAGAGCACCAGGAGCACUUCUGUGCUGUGCAGGUGACGGAGCACUGACACAGGCUGCCCAGAGGCUGUGUGUGGGAUCUGCUUCUCAAGAGACCUUCAGCAGCUGCCUGGACGUGGGGUCCAUUGGGCCCUGCCAGCCUCAGCCAUUCUAGGUAAAGAAAGGAAACAAAUUCGCUUAAGGAGGGUGCUGGGAAACUUUUACGAAGUGCCACAAAUGUCCUUGAGGGUGAAAAUGAGAAGCUCUAGGCUAGAUUGGAAACUAGAAGUUACUGAAUGUGGCUGAUGGGUACUUGGUAUUUUUAGGCCCAACUUGUAAUUUAGCUACAAGGGGAAGGGAUGAGUGAGAGCUUCAGUGCCCAGGACAAAAUGCACUGUCUUCAUGCUGGCCUAUUUUUCACAGUCUCCUGGAACCCACAGCCUGGCUGGUGGGUGGUGGGGCUGGCCUGCCCUCACCUUGGUGAGCACCUGACCCUGGCAGGGCAUGCAGGAGGCUAACAGGUGUCAUCCCAAACCCAGUGCAGGAGCUGGAGGAAUCAGACACCACCCCCUGAGGACAUGAACUCCCAGCAGGCUGAGAUGGUGGGGAAGAUGGGCUUUUGGUGCUCCAUUUCCUUGCCUCGCUGUGCUUAAAGGCCAGAAACAACAUAACAAUUCCUGAGCAAAAGCUAACUUGAUUUGUUUUGGAAUGAUCUUUAAGGUUCCUUCCAACCCGAGCCAUUCCAUGAUUCAUAGUAUGCGUGCUUGGGAGAUCUGCAUGCUCACGCUGAGACUUGAGGAGCAACAGUGCCCAUCAAUAUCACUGUGUCCACAGCUUCUUCAGAGAAAUAGACAGUAAUGAGAAAUACAGUGAGAGCUCACAGAAAUGUCCUUGCUUUAUCCUUGGUGGAUGGUCUCGAUGCCAUUAGCAAACUACUGUACGUAGGGGAAAACAUGCCUUUAAUAGUCUUGUCUCAGCUGUUGUUAAUUUGAUUUCCCUCAAGUAUUCUGUGUUCAGUCACAAAGUCCUGGAGCAAGACUUGGUGUAGCAAGGAGUACAAAUAAUUUACGCUGUAAUGUCUGAGGUUCCCAGAUAAAGCAUGCGCUAUUUCAAACAAAGCAAAAA